rnacentral:rRNA from 1 species
ACCGGCUAACUCCGUGCCAGCAGCCGCGGUAAUACGGGAGGGUGCGAGCGUUAAUCGGUAAUUACUGGGCGUAAAGCGCAUGCAGGUGGUUUGUUAAGUCAGAUGUGAAAGCCCGGGGCUCAACCUCGGAAUUGCAUUUGAAACUGGCAAACUAGAGUACUGUAGAGGGGGGUAGAAUUUCAGGUGUAGCGGUGAAAUGCGUAGAGAUCUGAAGGAAUACCGGUGGCGAAGGCGGCCCCCUGGACAGAUACUGACACUCAGAUGCGAAAGCGUGGGGAGCAAACAGGAUUAGAUACCCUGGUAG